rnacentral:lncRNA from 1 species
GACUAGAAAAGUAAUAAACCUUCACAAAGGCAAAGAAAAUCCAUUCUAGGGGGCAAAUAUUGCCUCUAAAUAUAAAAAAGUGCAUUUCUGACACUGCCUCAAACCCACAUCAAUAACUCACUCCAUUAAGAUGUGAAUGACUAAGACCACACACACACACACACUUUUACAACAGUGGAAUAGACCAUCAGCCCCAGUGCACACAAUUACACUUCAUUUAGACUACAGUUUAACAGAAACGUGUUGUGGGGUGACGUUUACAUUUGCAGCCUACUAGGGCUGCAGUGUGAAGCUUUAACGUGACAAAAUAAUGAGAAAAUUCUAGGCUUGGGGAAGGUAGGAAAGGAAAGACUUUAUUGUAGUGGGUUGUAGUGGGCACCUUCACGUUCGUGUGUCUGCUCACACCCCCAACUCAGCUCCACAACGAGGCUGAGGGAGACACGGCGUUCAGUUACACCGGUUGCCAGUGAAUAGAAGGGACAAGGCGCGGGGAAAUGCACGCCUGUGCCGUCAGUGAAAUGCGCCUGAGAUUUAGCCCCUGAAUGCACACGACGCCACCGAAAUGCCGGGCUGGAAGAAAAAUAUCCCUGCUUGUCUGCAAGCCGACCAAGAAGGAGGUGAUUUUGCGGUAUAAUUCGGCGACAGAAUUUCACUAUUCGGCACCCAAUGAAAUCUUAUCCAUCACAGCCAUGCAUGUCGAGCAAAACGGGUCUGAAUGGUCGGGGGAGAAGUCAGGCGCACUUGCCCACAGCAAACGGGCAGAGUACACCGAGCACGGGCUUAUAAUGAAUCAAAUCAAAGCAGCGUGGAAUGAUCAUGUUUCAGAGGACAGUGAAAUGUGUUUGCACACGUGGUUUGUCGGUGCAAAGAUUGUUUGGUUUACGUAUGGAGCAGCAGCACUUAGGGCAAACAUUGAUGCAGUUGUUUUUUCUUUCUUUUUUUGUUUAGAUAAUAUGGGUAGAUCUUUGGAAAGGGCUGUGUUCUCUAAAGCAGUACAGUUGUCAAUGUCAGCUGACUGUUUAUAUGCACAUAAACAUUCUGCUUAAGAUUGGAAUAUGAUUGUAUUUUGAUUAUAUGUGCGUCAUGUUAAUCUGAUUGCAAGAAAUAAGAUUUUGUUUACAAGAAAUCUGAAUUAGAUUGCUGGUAUGUUCUUGUAUUAAUCACAAUUCUGGGUGAUGUAAACACCUUAUUUGCAAUAUCCAUAUUAUUU